rnacentral:rRNA from 1 species
CCUUUUGUAUAAUGGGUCAGCGACUUAUAUUCUGUAGCAAGGUUAACCGAAUAGGGGAGCCGAAGGGAAACCGAGUCUUAACUGGGCGUUAAGUUGCAGGGUAUAGACCCGAAACCCGGUGAUCUAGCCAUGGGCAGGUUGAAGGUUGGGUAACACUAACUGGAGGACCGAACCGACUAAUGUUGAAAAAUUAGCGGAUGACUUGUGGCUGGGGGUGAAAGGCCAAUCAAACCGGGAGAUAGCUGGUUCUCCCCGAAAGCUAUUUAGGUAGCGCCUCGUGAAUUCAUCUCCGGGGGUAGAGCACUGUUUCGGCAAGGGGGUCAUCCCGACUUACCAACCCGAUGCAAACUGCGAAUACCGGAGAAUGUUAUCACGGGAGACACACGGCGGGUGCUAACGUCCGUCGUGAAGAGGGAAACAACCCAGACCGCCAGCUAAGGUCCCAAAGUCAUGGUUAAGUGGGAAACGAUGUGGGAAGGCCCAGACAGCCAGGAUGUUGGCUUAGAAGCAGCCAUCAUUUAAAGAAAGCGUAAUAGCUCACUGGUCGAGUCGGCCUGCGCGGAAGAUGUAACGGGGCUAAACCAUGCACCGAAGCUGCGGCAGCGACACUAUGUGUUGUUGGGUAGGGGAGCGUUCUGUAAGCCUGUGAAGGUGUACUGUGAGGUAUGCUGGAGGUAUCAGAAGUGCGAAUGCUGACAUAAGUAACGAUAAAGCGGGUGAAAAGCCCGCUCGCCGGAAGACCAAGGGUUCCUGUCCAACGUUAAUCGGGGCAGGGUGAGUCGACCCCUAAGGCGAGGCCGAAAGGCGUAGUCGAUGGGAAACAGGUUAAUAUUCCUGUACUUGGUGUUACUGCGAAGGGGGGACGGAGAAGGCUAUGUUGGCCGGGCGACGGUUGUCCCGGUUUAAGCGUGUAGGCUGGUUUUCCAGGCAAAUCCGGAAAAUCAAGGCUGAGGCGUGAUGACGAGGCACUACGGUGCUGAAGCAACAAAUGCCCUGCUUCCAGGAAAAGCCUCUAAGCAUCAGGUAACAUCAAAUCGUACCCCAAACCGACACAGGUGGUCAGGUAGAGAAUACCAAGGCGCUUGAGAGAACUCGGGUGAAGGAACUAGGCAAAAUGGUGCCGUAACUUCGGGAGAAGGCACGCUGAUAUGUAGGUGAAGUCCCUCGCGGAUGGAGCUGAAAUCAGUCGAAGAUACCAGCUGGCUGCAACUGUUUAUUAAAAACACAGCACUGUGCAAACACGAAAGUGGACGUAUACGGUGUGACGCCUGCCCGGUGCCGGAAGGUUAAUUGAUGGGGUUAGCCGCAAGGCGAAGCUCUUGAUCGAAGCCCCGGUAAACGGCGGCCGUAACUAUAACGGUCCUAAGGUAGCGAAAUUCCUUGUCGGGUAAGUUCCGACCUGCACGAAUGGCGUAAUGAUGGCCAGGCUGUCUCCACCCGAGACUCAGUGAAAUUGAACUCGCUGUGAAGAUGCAGUGUACCCGCGGCAAGACGGAAAGACCCCGUGAACCUUUACUAUAGCUUGACACUGAACAUUGAGCCUUGAUGUGUAGGAUAGGUGGGAGGCUUUGAAGUGUGGACGCCAGUCUGCAUGGAGCCGACCUUGAAAUACCACCCUUUAAUGUUUGAUGUUCUAACGUUGACCCGUAAUCCGGGUUGCGGACAGUGUCUGGUGGGUAGUUUGACUGGGGCGGUCUCCUCCUAAAGAGUAACGGAGGAGCACGAAGGUUGGCUAAUCCUGGUCGGACAUCAGGAGGUUAGUGCAAUGGCAUAAGCCAGCUUGACUGCGAGCGUGACGGCGCGAGCAGGUGCGAAAGCAGGUCAUAGUGAUCCGGUGGUUCUGAAUGGAAGGGCCAUCGCUCAACGGAUAAAAGGUACUCCGGGGAUAACAGGCUGAUACCGCCCAAGAGUUCAUAUCGACGGCGGUGUUUGGCACCUCGAUGUCGGCUCAUCACAUCCUGGGGCUGAAGUAGGUCCCAAGGGUAUGGCUGUUCGCCAUUUAAAGUGGUACGCGAGCUGGGUUUAGAACGUCGUGAGACAGUUCGGUCCCUAUCUGCCGUGGGCGCUGGAGAACUGAGGGGGGCUGCUCCUAGUACGAGAGGACCGGAGUGGACGCAUCACUGGUGUUCGGGUUGUCAUGCCAAUGGCACUGCCCGGUAGCUAAAUGCGGAAGAGAUAAGUGCUGAAAGCAUCUAAGCACGAAACUUGCC